rnacentral:rRNA from 1 species
CACGUAGGGUGCGAGCGUUGUCCGGAAUUAUUGGGCGUAAAGAGCUCGUAGGCGGUGUGUCGCGUCGGCCGUGAAAACCUACAGCUUAACUGUGGGCUUGCGGUCGAUACGGGCAUCACUGGAGUUCGGCAGGGGAGACUGGAAUUCCUGGUGUAGCGGUGAAAUGCGCAGAUAUCGGGAGGAACACCGGUGGCGAAGGCGGCGACCUGGGUAGAUACUGACGCUGAGGUGCGAAAGCGUGGGGAGCAAACAGG